UACGGAGGGAGCUAGCGUUGUUCGGAAUUACUGGGCGUAAAGCGCGCGUAGGCGGCUUUGUCAGUUAGAGGUGAAAGCCCGGGGCUCAACCCCGGAACUGCCUUUAAGACUGCAUCGCUUGAAUCCGGGAGAGGUGAGUGGAAUUCCGAGUGUAGAGGUGAAAUUCGUAGAUAUUCGGAAGAACACCAGUGGCGAAGGCGGCUCACGGGACCGGCAUUGACGCUGAGGUGCGAAAGCGUGGGGAGCAAACAGG
rnacentral:rRNA from 1 species